UAAUAUCCUCCAAAAUUAUUUGG
rnacentral:snRNA from 1 species